UACAGAGGUCUCAAGCGUUGUUCGGAUUCAUUGGGCGUAAAGGGUGCGUAGGCGGCGCGGCAAGUCGGGUGUGAAAUUUCGGAGCUUAACUCCGAAACUGCAUUCGAUACUCCCGUGCUUGAGGACUGGAGAGGAGACUGGAAUUUACGGUGUAGCAGUGAAAUGCGUAGAGAUCGUAAGGAAGACCAGUGGCGAAGGCGGGUCUCUGGACAGUUCCUGACGCUGAGGCACGAAGGCCAGGGGAGCAAACGGG
rnacentral:rRNA from 1 species